UACGAAGGGUGCAAGCGUUACUCGGAAUUACUGGGCGUAAAGCGUGCGUAGGUGGUUUGUUAAGUCUGAUGUGAAAGCCCCGGGCUCAACCUGGGAAUUGCAUUGGAUACUGGCGGGCUAGAGUGCGGUAGAGGGUAGUGGAAUUCCCGGUGUAGCAGUGAAAUGCGUAGAGAUCGGGAGGAACAUCAGUGGCGAAGGCGGCCAUCUGGGACAACACUGACGCUGAAGCACGAAAGCGUGGGGAGCAAACAGG
rnacentral:rRNA from 1 species